rnacentral:rRNA from 1 species
AGCAGCCGCGGUAAUUCCAGCUCCAAUAGCGUAUAUUAAAGUUGUUGCAGUUAAAAAGCUCGUAGUUGAAUUUCGGGAUCAAUACGUCGGUCGUGCUUCGGUACGUACUAACGUCAUUGAUUUCUCCCUUCUGACGAAUCGUGAUGUCAUUAAUUUGGUGUUACGGGGAGUUAGGACUGUUACUUUGAAAAAAUUAGAGUGUUUAAAGCAAGCAAUCGCUCGAAUACAUUAGCAUGGAAUAAUGAAAUAGGACGUUCGAACCUAUUUGUUGGUUUCUAGGAUCGACGUAAUGAUUAAUAGGGAUAGUUGGGGGCAUUAGUAUUCAAUUGUCAGAGGUGAAAUUCUUGGAUUUAUUGAAGACUAACUACUGCGAAAGCAUUUGCCAAGGAUGUUUUCAUUAAUCAAGAACGAAAGUUAGGGGAUCGAAGACGAUCAGAUACCGUCGUAGUCUUAACCAUAAACUAUGCCGACUAGGGAUCGGAUGAUGUAAUUUUAUAAUGACUCAUUCGGCGCCUUACGG